rnacentral:ncRNA from 2 species
AUAUCAAUAAAUUAAUAAGGUUAAAUUGGAAGUUCGGUGAAAAUCCGGCGCGGUCCCGCCACUGUAAUGGGGAGAUUAUUUUCUUAUAAUGCCACUGGAGAAUCAAACUCUGGGAAGGCAAAAAUAAUCUAUGAACCUAAGCCAGGACACAUGCCUAAUUUAGUUUACCUUU